rnacentral:rRNA from 1 species
GACGAACGCUGGCGGCGUGCUUAACACAUGCAAGUCGAACGGAAAGGCCCUGCUUUUGUGGGGUGCUCGAGUGGCGAACGGGUGAGUAACACGUGAGUAACCUGCCCUUGACUUUGGGAUAACUUCAGGAAACUGGGGCUAAUACCGGAUAGGAGCUCCUGCUGCAUGGUGGGGGUUGGAAAGUUUCGGCGGUUGGGGAUGGACUCGCGGCUUAUCAGAUUGUUGGUGGGGUAGUGGCUUACCAAGGCUUUGACGGGUAGCCGGCCUGAGAGGGUGACCGGCCACAUUGGGACUGAGAUACGGCCCAGACUCCUACGGGAGGCAGCAGUGGGGAAUAGUGCACAAUGGGCGGAAGCCUGAUGCAGCAACGCCGCGUGCGGGAUGACGGCCUUCGGGUUGUAAACCGCUUUCGCCUGUGACGAAGCGUGAGUGACGGUAAUGGGUAAAGAAGCACCGGCUAACUACGUG